rnacentral:tRNA from 1 species
AGUCCCGAGCAGCGAAGUGCAAAUCCGCAAACGUACCCCAAAAAGGGUGCCGGGGCUU